rnacentral:rRNA from 1 species
ACCCUACGGGGGGCAGCAGUGGGGGAUAUUGCACAAUGGGGGGAACCCUGAUGCAGCGACGCCGCGUGGGUGAAGGAGCGUUUCGGCGCGUAAAGCCCUAUCGGCAGGGAAGAAGGAGGACGGUACCUGACUAAGAAGCCCCGGCUAACUACGUGCCAGCAGCCGCGGUAAUACGUAGGGGGCAAGCGUUAUCCGGAUUUACUGGGUGUAAAGGGAGCGCAGACGGCAGGGCAAGUCUGAUGUGAAAGUCCGGGGCUCAACCCCGGGACUGCAUUGGAAACUGUCCGGCUAGAGUGCAGGAGAGG